rnacentral:rRNA from 1 species
UACGAAGGGGGCUAGCGUUGCUCGGAAUCACUGGGCGUAAAGCGCACGUAGGCGGAUUGUUAAGUCAGGGGUGAAAUCCUGGAGCUCAACUCCAGAACUGCCUUUGAUACUGGCGAUCUUGAGUCCGGGAGAGGUGAGUGGAACUGCGAGUGUAGAGGUGAAAUUCGUAGAUAUUCGCAAGAACACCAGUGGCGAAGGCGGCUCACUGGCCCGGUACUGACGCUGAGAUGCGAAAGCGUGGGGAGCAAACAGGG